rnacentral:rRNA from 1 species
UACGUAGGGCGCAAGCGUUGUCCGGAAUUAUUGGGCGUAAAGAGCUCGUAGGUGGCUUGUCACGUCGGGUGUGAAAGCUUGGGGCUUAACUCCAGGUCUGCAUUCGAUACGGGCCGGCUAGAGGUAGGUAGGGGAGAACGGAAUUCCUGGUGUAGCGGUGAAAUGCGCAGAUAUCAGGAGGAACACCGGUGGCGAAGGCGGUUCUCUGGGCCUUACCUGACGCUGAGGAGCGAAAGCGUGGGGAGCGAACAGG